ACCGAUUCAUACCAUAACUUGAGGAGUUUUAGUUAGAUUCAAACUUGAAUCCCAAUUAUCUCGACCAUGUCUCCUUAAAUUGCUUCGAUCUGCAGACUGUUUUAAUUACCUAAUUUUAGCACUAUAUCUCUUUAAAACAAGGAAGAUACAUCAGCAUCCCUGCUAAACGCCUCCACCUUUCUCUUCUCUCGCAUCUCUCCUUUAGAAACCCUAAUAUCAAACAUCACAACCCACCAUCAAUAAACUCUGUCCUCACUUAACUUUCAUUAUCAUCAAAAUGAUGCUACUCCCUCUCCAGAAAUCGGCCACCACUAUUUCUUUUUCCUUUCUCAGUGACUAAUCUCAUCCUCAUCGCAUUCUGUGUUCAGGGAACCAAUGAUCGUUAGCAUAUGAGGAAGGAUGGUGGCUAAAAAGGGAGAAAUCGGCUUCAGAAAGGUGGCUAAGAAGAGCGAAAUCAAGAAGGAUGUAACAGAGGAAGAACAUUGAAGAAGAAGUAUGUAUGAGUUUUAUGAGGAAAGGGUUUAGAUUUAUCUACUUUACUACACCAAUUCUCUAUAUUGUUUACCAUAUUCCUCAACACCAUCGAAAUAUCCAGAUCCACGGUUUUCUCUCUCUCUCUCUCUCUCUCUCUCUCUCUCUCUCUCUCUCUCUCUCUCUCUCUCUCUCUGCAAAUAAGGCUAAGUUUAAAUCUCAACCACAUGGUCUGAGGUUUGAAAUUUUAUGAAAAUCAGCUUUUCAAAUGUUUAUGACCCUUCAUCUACAUACACUAAGUCGAAAGGAUAGUGUGCCCCUGAUACUUUAUAUCAGAAGCUGGGCUAUGGAGUAAAGAGUUACCGUUAAUUUCAAGAAGUUGAUUCCUUCAAUAAAAAGGAAUGUUGCAAACAAUAAGGUGAAGCCUUUGAUCAGACAAUUUUUUUAUUCUGAUAGAUAAUGUGUAUUUUCAUGCACUACUUUUGAACUUCCUAAGUUAAAUUACUUCAAUUUUAACCAUUCAAAAUUAUUCAUUUAUAUUUUUGUUGUCUUUUACAGUUUUUAAUAGAUAUUUUUAAGUCAUUUGAAAUCAUUAGUUGGUUUUUGAUAAAGGCGUUUCAAAAGCAAGUUUAAUACAAGGUAUUAUGAGGGCAUAUCCAGGUUAAAGUUUUAAUCAAUUUAACUAGAGGUCUUUAACUUGAAAAGGUAUUCUCAAAUAUUCAAUUUUAUAAGUGGUAAAUUUGUCCAAUUGUAAAUUUCAUGAUUGUGUUUGUAUCUGCCAUGAACCUCCUUAUACAUGGAAGGUAAGAAACUUAAUUUAUUUGUAUUUUUGGUCAUCUGAAACUAAAUGUUUUAACUUAUGGUUAUUUUUUUCAUUAAUCAUAAUCACCUAAUGAGUGUUUUUCUCUUAUUUGUUCUUUUGCACCUUAUCUUGAUAAUUUCCAGAAUACAAUCUAAAUUCGUUUAUUCAUCACUUAGAAUUAUGAUCGCUUUGCCCUUCAGACACAAUGGUGAUGGUAACAAAUAAAUGCUCCAGUUUCUUAUGCUCUGCCAUUAUAACAAUUGAUAACAUGCCUCCAGGGAUUCAAACGGGGUGUUAAAGGAGGUUGCUUGAACCCUUGAUUAUAUUGCAAGGGAGUAUUGUGGAUGCAAGAUGUGAAGCAAAAAUAAGUUAGGGAACUAUACUAAUCAUUUGGAAAAAAAAAUUAUUAGUUUAUUGGGAGAAUACAAUCUCUUUGCGAUGCACUUACUCUUAUGAAGUAGAAAAACCAACUAUUUCUUCCUAAAAUGUAGUUACUUUUAGAGAAAAGAGAUUAUAAUCGCCACCGUUAAAACUCCAGAAAGGAAGUUAAUUGUGCUGAAAGCGGACAUAGAACAAAAAACUCAAGCUUUUUAUUAUGUUGUAGGCAGUGGUAGGCACGUAAGAGAAAGAAAUAAAAGAAAUAGCUACUUACUUUCAAAGUACAAUUCCCUAAUGAGAAUAAAUUAAGAAGUAAAAUGUUGUAAUAGAAAAUGAAAGCUAUGGUUAUGUUAAUUUCAUAAUGAUUGGUUGUUCUUGAAGUGAAAAAUUAUUGAGUGACUUUGUUUUCUCUAUACAACGUAAUGUCCUAAUGAUUAAUUUUUCUUGAAA